CUGCAUGAUUCACUCAUAGAGCUCCAUCUCGACAUCGCACGUCUGGAUGAGGCCGCAAAACCACUCCCAACCCGACACGUGAAGACGUAAUCAUCUUCUGUUCGAUCGACAGAACCGAAGCACAAAGAUUGGAUUUUCAUGUCUCCAAAAUCAUUUGACUCAAGGGUCGUAACGUCAAC